rnacentral:rRNA from 1 species
UACGAAGGGUGCAAACGUUGCUCGGAAUCAUUGGGCGUAAAGCGCACGUAGGCGGCCUCAAAAGUCGGAUGUGAAAUCCCGUGGCUCAACCAUGGACGUGCAUUCGAAACUGCGAGGCUUGAGUAUGGAAGAGGGUCGCGGAAUUCCCGGUGUAGAGGUGAAAUUCGUAGAUAUCGGGAGGAACACCAGUGGCGAAGGCGGCGACCUGGGCCAAUACUGACACUGAGGAGCGAAAGCCAGGGGAGCAAACGGG